AUUGAACGCUGGCGGCAGGCCUAACACAUGCAAGUCGAGCGGAGCGGCGGUAGGGUGAGUAAUGCCUAGGAAUCUGCCUGGUAGUGGGGGAUAACGUCCGGAAACGGGCGCUAAUACCGCAUACUCUCACAUGAGCCCAGAGGGGAUUAGCUAGUUGGUGGGGUAACGGCUCACCAAGGCGACGACCCCUAGCUGGUCUGAGAGUAUGACCAGCCACACUGGGACUGAGACACGGUCCAGACUCCUACGGGAGGCAGCAGUGGGGAAUAGUGCACAAUGGGCGCAAGCCUGAUGCAGCCAUGCCGCGUGUAUGAAGAAGGCCUUCGGGUUGUAAAGUACUGUCGGCGGGGAGGCGUUACCCGCAGAAGAAGCACCGGCUAACUCCGUGCCAGCAGCCGCGGUAAUUC
rnacentral:rRNA from 1 species